UAGACCGUCGUGAGACAGGUUAG
rnacentral:ncRNA from 4 species